rnacentral:tRNA from 1 species
AGUGUAGUUGGUAACACGCCGGAAGAAGGUGCCAGGAUGCGGGUUCGACUCCCGCC